UUCCAGGAAAAGCCACUAAGCUUCAGCUAACAACGACCGUACCGCAAACCGACACUGGUGCGCGAGAUGAGUAUUCUAAGGCGCUUGAGAGAACUCGGGAGAAGGAACUCGGCAAAUUGACACCGUAACUUCGGAAGAAGGUGUGCCCUAGUAGUGUGAAGUGAACAACGGAGCAUGAAUGGGUUGCAAAAAAUCGGUGGCUGCGACUGUUUAUUAAAAACACAGCACUCUGCAAACACGAAAGUGGACGUAUAGGGUGUGACGCCUGCCCGGUGCUGGAAGAUUAAAUGAUGGGGUGCGAGCUCUUGAUUGAAGUCCCAGUAAACGGCGGCCGUAACAAUAACGGUCCUAAGGUAGCGAAAUUCCUUGUCGGGUAAGUUCCGACCUGCACGAAUGGCGUAACGAUGGCCACACUGUCUCCUCCCGAGACUCAGCGAAGUUGAAAUGUUUGUGAUGAUGCAAUCUCCCCGCGGAAAGACGGAAAGACCCCAUGAACCUUUACUGUAGCUUUGUAUUGGACUUUGAACAGAUCUGUGUAGGAUAGGUGGGAGGCUUUGAAGCAGGGUCGCUAGAUCUUGUGGAGCCAACGUUGAAAUACCACCCUGGUGUGUUUGAGGUUCUAACCUAGGUCCAUUAUCUGGAUCGGGGACAGUGCAUGGUAGGCAGUUUGACUGGGGCGGUCUCCUCCCAAAGUGUAACGGAGGAGUUCGAAGGUACGCUAGUUACGGUCGGACAUCGUGACGAUAGUGCAAUGGCAUAAGCGUGCUUAACUGCGAGACUGACAAGUCGAGCAGAUGCGAAAGCAGGACAUAGUGAUCCGGUGGUUCUGUAUGGAAGGGCCAUCGCUCAACGGAUAAAAGGUACUCUUGGGAUAACAGGCUGAUACCGCCCAAGAGUUCAUAUCGACGGCGGUGUUUGGCACCUCGAUGUCGGCUCAUCUCAUCCUGGGGCUGUAGCCGGUCCCAAGGGUAUGGCUGUUCGCCAUUUAAAGAGGUACGUGAGCUGAGUUUAAAACGUCGUGAGACAGUUUGGUCCCUAUCUUCCGUGGGCGCUGCAGAUUUGAGGAAGCCUGCUCCUAGUACGAGAGGACCGGAGUGGACGCACCUCUGGUGUAUCGGUUGUCACGCCAGUGGCAUUGCCGAGUAGCUAUGUGCGGAAGAGAUAACCGCUGAAAGCAUCUAAGCGGGAAACUCGUUCCAAGAUGAGAUCUGCCGGGGCCUUGAGCCCCCUAAAGAGUCGUUCAAGACCAGGACGUUGAUAGGUCAGGUGUGGAAGCGCAGUAAUGCGUUAAGCUAACUGAUACUAAUUGCUCGUGCGGCCUGACCCU
rnacentral:rRNA from 1 species